GACGGAGGGUGCAAGCGUUGCUCGGAAUCACUGGGCGUAAAGGGUGCGUAGGCGGUGGGGUAAGUUUGAGGUGAAAGCUCCGGGCUCAACCCGGAAAAUGCCUUGAAAACUAUCCGGCUAGAGGGUUGGAGGGGAGACUGGAAUUCUCGGUGUAGCAGUGAAAUGCGUAGAUCUCGAGAGGAACACCAGUGGCGAAGGCGGGUCUCUGGACAACACCUGACGCUGAGGCACGAAAGCCAGGGGAGCAAACGGG
rnacentral:rRNA from 1 species